rnacentral:rRNA from 1 species
UGGGGAAUAUUGCACAAUGGGCGCAAGCCUGAUGCAGCAACGCCGCGUGAGGGACGACGGCCUUCGGGUUGUAAACCUCUUUUAGUAGGGAAGAAGCGAAAGUGACGGUACCUGCAGAAAAAGCACCGGCUAACUACGUGCCAGCAGCCGCGGUAAUACGUAGGGUGCGAGCGUUGUCCGGAAUUAUUGGGCGUAAAGAGCUCGUAGGCGGUCUGUCGCGUCUGCUGUGAAAAUCCCCGAGGCUCAACCUCGGGCCUGCAGUGGGUACGGGCAGACUAGAGUGCGGUAGGGGAGAAUGGAAUUCCUGGUGUAGCGGUGGAAUGCGCAGAUAUCAGGAGGAACACCGAUGGCGAAGGCAGUUCUCUGGGCCGUAACUGACGCUGAGGAGCGAAAGCGUGGGGAGCGAACAGGAUUAGAUACCCUGGUAGUCCACGCCGUAAACGUUGGGCGCUAGAUGUGGGGACCAUUCCACGGUUUCCGUGUC